UUGCUGGUUAGCCAAGUUAUUUCUCCAAAAGUUUAAUUCAGUGUUAUUUGUAUACUCCAGCUGUUCAUAUUCUGAGCAUACAGUCAGAUCCUUAUCAGAACACUUCGCAUGUAGCUUCGUGUCAUGGUUUUUGCCCUAGACAGACUCAUCCAUUUCGACUGAUUUGGUAUCUUCGUACUCUGAUGUUCAAUUCUUGCAGUUUUGCUGUUUCGUUAACGUCGAAUUCUCUCUUUGGUUCACAAUGAAUUUUUAAUGCUAUUGAUGUCUACUCAAUAAAGUUUUAUCGUUUUUAAAUCAGUAUGGAUUAAGUACUUUCUUGUAUCCGUCUCCUUUGGGACCUUGCAAUGAUGGCCCUUACCUUUUAAGCAACAAUGCCAGGUUACAAACAGGUAAAUAGGUGUUUCCUUUUUCUUGCAAAUAUUCCAUCUCUCUCUAAAACUCAACAAAUAAAUGCUAACUUAAUCGCUAUUUUGGUCUUAUCAAUGAUCUUAGUUCUACUUCUUGUUAAUUGUCAUGACAUGAAUUGGGAUUAUAAUUGGUGCCUAGCUAAUUGAUACAUGAGCUGAAGAGCUGCUAUGUAUUACUUAACAUGCCAAUGGUACAUUUUUGAUAAUUUAUAUGUAUAACAUGUGUGCAUACAUAAACAGACCCAUAAUAUUAUAAGAAAACCUGAAAUUCUGGAUUCCCAAAAUGCUUAUGGAUCAAAAUUCUUUUCUCAUAAGUUAGUUACCUUUAAAUACCCAAAGCUCAAUAUUUACUGACUCGAAAUGUAAAACGAGUUUUCUAAUGACUAGUGUUGAGAACUUGUGUCAUGUCAAGAUGAAACCUGUCUUUUAGCAACUGGCGGGGUUGGUAUGGAGGUAACUUCUGCAAAUCUACAAACAACGAUAUGGACAUUAUGGUGUUGAUUUAAAUAGGUCAUAAAUUAAUUAAGUGGCUUCUGUUUGCAUCAACUACAUUUGUCAUAGAGUUUAAUUGAUUUCUCUCACUUCUCUGUUUGAUCCAACAUGGUUUGACUUAAUUUUGACAUGUAGAAAGGAAACUGAUCGUAUUUGGAACUUUUAUGUUUAUAUAAAGUCUCCAUAUCAAGAUUUUUAGAAUAAAGAAUGAAAGUUUCUUACUUACUGUACCUGUGAAUUUUUCUUUCUUCUUACCAUCUCUAUGCUGACAGGUUUGAUAAUGAGAAGUCCCUUUUUGGUGACUCCAUAAUGUCAUGAAACUGAAUACGCUACAAAAGAACUCGGUAUAAGUGUAUCUGAAUCUUUUGAGUUACAGUUCAUCUCAUUUCCUAUUCAAUUAGCAAGUUCACAUGGUGACAGUGAUGGCUUUACUGGUAUUUUUAAGUUAGGAACAUUUUGUACCUCAGAUUUUUUUUAUCUUCUAUGCAUAUCUAGAUUGGCACCCUAAUACCCAGGUUUAGGAUUCAUGUUCACUAAAGACUGCAAUUAUAGAAAACUACUUGAUUCCAUUAAAAAAAUAAUUGGAACAAACAUGAGUCUAGUUGCAAGAAUAUGUCUAUUGGUACUAAUUUCAGUUUGUACAAGUGAUUUCUGUUACCACUGUUUAUCACUUCACAAUUCUCACACGUGACAAGUCCAUGAAAGCUGCAGAUGAUUGCUGCAUCAAAGGAAAUCCUUGUGAUGUCUACUAUAACUCAGGCAACUGUAGUUAUUGACAAGGGUGAAAAUUAAAAUGUCUCUCUUUGUGAGUCAAUUUUCCAAUAGUGAAGGUUAUCUUGAUGAACUAUUAUCAAAUAAUCAUAUCGAGAAAAAGAAUGCUAAUAUUCUUGGUCUCUUAAGCAUAGGAUAUACAUUAAUCCAUCUUUAAAUGUUCGUCUUCAGAUCUCAGUUACACUGUUUAUCACUUCAUAAAUUCCCAUAUUUGACAGUCAUAAGUUCAUGGAAGCUGCAGAGGCUUGCUGUAUCGGAAAUCCUUGCCCAUUUCUGAUAUAACACAGGCAAAUGAGGUAGUUGUUGGCAGAGAUUGAACUGAGAGACCGCAAUCCUCUCCAGCAUGAAAGUGGUUUUCAUCUUAAACUGAACUGACUGGUAAAGACGAGCUUGCAAUUUGGGUAAAUUCAUCUAUUAUUGCUAGCUGGAGUAGGUACUCUUUUAAUUUGCAGUCAUUCAAAAAAAAAAAAAAUUUCCUAGCAACUAAAUGCAUUUACACAUUUAUUUCAUUUAAUAUCUAGUUCUGUGUUCUUCCAUAGAUUUCAAAUAUUAAGUAUUAUGCUUUUAGACUCGUAAACCAUGCUAGUUAACCAAGAAAUGAGCUGAUUAGAUGACUUACAUGUAACUAAAUUAUCUUUAAAAAAUGCAUCUUCUUAUCUCUAUAGUAAAACUUGUCUUCUCUGUCAAUUGCUUUGAUGAAUUGAAUGGUAGCUAUUCACUCACUGGUAUAUUUAAUAACAAGACUAAAACCUGAAAUCUAAGGGUUCAGAUAUGGCUUCAGGUGAGACAAAUCAAGAGUUCUGGAGUAUUUGGAAGCCCCAAAACAAAAAAAAUCACAGUCAAAGUACAUAUCGAUCUUAACGAAUUUCUUGAACAGGCAGAUCAAAAGCCAUUGAUGACUUCUGAUUAACCAGAGGUUGAAAGUGAAGCAGAGGGUGACCAUAGACUUCGUUUUUGGAGACUUUUAAAGUAGCUUUGGAAGUCAUGCUUGCAUAAUGCUGACAUACACAGAUACAUAUAAUCAUAAAUAAAAGUCAUAUAUGCAACUAAAGUUGGGCACCUAUAAAAACUAUCACUGGAUGAACUAUGUUGAUAUUGCCAUUCCUGGAGUUGAAAAUGCUACUCCAUCAUAUUACAAUUCUUUAGGAAAAAUAUCUUCUUGUUCUUGUGUGCUUUUAAAUUUAUCUUUCAGUUUUUAAUUGUAGCUUGGAUUUUGUUUAGUCUGUAUGACAUCAAAACUGCAGGUGGUUCUAAAAUUAUCAAUCUCUGUUUCUCUUUUAAGGAUAUAACUGCUUAGCUCUUUCCUUGAAUGAUACAUGAACCUAAUCCAAGUACAUCAAAUAUCUUGCCUUGCUAGUCGAUUAAAAAAGGGUGUAGGGUUUGUGAUACCCAAGAAUGGCAAUAUGGCCUAUCGGUCUAGAGCAAUCAUGUCCACUUAGGUCUGGAUAACCACCAAACCUUUUGAAAACCACUAAACUUGCUUCAUGGAUUUGGUGAAACUUUCUCAAGGAUAUCAAUCAUUAAGCAGUUCCUUUUUCUUUGCAUGUUAACAUAAAAGAUAGUCUUUGUACAGGGACCUAACCUAACUAAGUGACACAAAACUUCAUAUAUUAGGUUAUCACUUAGCAUUUUAGCUUCUGGGUUUCCUUUCCUAUAAUUUAUUUGAAUUGCAUGGUUUGCUUUGGUGACUGUUUGAUAUUGCAUCAAGUUUUUUUUUUUUUUUUUUUUCUGUUCUUGGUUCUGUAAAGGCUUGUUUAUUGCUUGCACUAACUCGUGGGAUGUCACCAUCAUAUAGUGUGGCUGUCAGUUCAGCAUGUGAAGGCUGAUCGGGAUGCAGAGUCUAUGGAGUUGGCAGAAGACACUUACCCUGGUGAUAUUGUCCUAACUUCUCAAGUCACAUUUGAUAGGUUGUGGUCAUUAAUAGUGUCGUAUUGGUUACAAUAUAAUGUCAUCGCAGUAUAUCCUUGUAGCAGUCAUUAAACUCUUACCAGGCUCUGUUUCUCUCUCUAGGGAAAUAAGAGGAAAAAGUAGGUGAAUGAUUAGUAUGUUCGCAAAAGCUGCCACAUACCUUAGUAGUAAGAUUUAGAUAAUUGAUGAGGAUAUGAAUCUUUAUUUUUUGGUUGAAGUGUCAUCACAUGUAUUAGCAUUUCUCUUCUCCUUUAAGAUGGCAUCUAAAUUUGUCCAAAAUCAUUCCACAUUUCUACAUGAAAAUUUCAGGUCCCAGUAAGUGGCCAAUAUCUAAUCAGAUAAUGUCAAGAUUAGCUGUAUUGGCAUCAAAUACACGAGGAUCUGUUCAGUUACUGACUUAGCCGAGAUCACUUGAGAAUAUAGUGCAAUCCAAGUCAGCACGCAGAUCGUAAUGGUGCCCAUCAAGAUCGUAUGAAUACAUCGGAACACCUACAACCUUACCGGAGGAACUUCCUGCUUGAGGAAGCCGUCGGUGCAGUUUUGGUGGCGUUUGACCGAGAAGAGGAGGCGAUCAAAGGCUCGGUCUUUCCCCAAUUAAGAGAACGCGUCCCCUCUUGACGCCAUCCAUGCACCGAAUCAACCAACCCACGGAAGAGCUACGGUGGUAGGUCAUUCGCAGUAGCCACACGCGACCCGUCUUCGUUUGGUCGGGCUCAACCCUCGCACGAGGGGAGGACGGAGCUCGCCACGAAGCGGUCUGAUGCAUUCACGGGUGCAACCCACCGGUCCGAGCUGCUUGGGGUCGACACGCGCAAGAGGAGGACGUCAGCGGCGAACCAAAGUCGCCGGGGGUGGGGGGAGCAACACCGUGAGAACCCCGUCCCGCCCUCCAACUGUUCGUCAUAAUGACGGGUGGGAGUCACUUUAUCCAACCCAUUUUCGCCUUAUGUGAAGGACUUUUCUACGGAACAGAAAGAAAGCAGUGCAGAAUUCCUUUUCGUCGAAAGGAUAGAGCGUGACUUCGUCGUAUGACACGCUCACACUGCAUUCCCCUCGCGCGGAUUUUUGCAUGUCCUUCUGCUUCACUUUUACUCCAGACAACUCCAACCAGAAGAGUUGUCAUCUCCCUGGCAAGCGAAAGCGAGCCUGACGAAUCUGCAGCCACAGAGAUGGUGUGGAGGAGGACAAGGUUAGGAUGAACUCUCGUUUGUGCACUUCUUUUGAAGGCUUUUUGACUAGUAGAGGACGUUUUCUUGUUCGCUUCGAUCUACUGUUCCUAACCAAAUAAAUACUCGCCACAGACAUCUCCCACUAAUGGAGGAAUACCUACCUAUAAAUAGAACGUUUCUCGCUAGGAAAAUAUCGUUGAUAUUUAUCAACAUGAUAUGGUUCUAAUUCAUACGUGAGAAGUUGUCCGAGACAGAGUAUGAUUUUUUCACACUCGCUUAC